AACGAACGCUGGCGGCAGGCCUAACACAUGCAAGUCGAGCGCUCUAGCAAUAGGGAGCGGCGCACGGGUGCGUAACGCGUGGGAACGUACUCCUUGGUACGGAACAACAUCGGGAAACUGAUGCUAAUACCGUAUAAUAUCUCCGGAUCAAAGAUUUAUCGCCAAGGAAUCAGCCCGCGUCAGAUUAGCUAGUUGGUGAGGUAAUGGCUCACCAAGGCUACGAUCUGUAGCUGGUCUUAGAGGAUGAUCAGCCACACUGGAACUGAGACACGGUCCAGACUCCUACGGGAGGCAGCAGUGAGGAAUCUUGGACAAUGGGGGCAACCCUGAUCCAGCCAUGCCGCGUGAGUGAUGAAGGCCCUCGGGUUGUAAAGCUCUUUUAGCUGUGAAGAUAAUGACGGUAACAGCAGAAAAAGCCCCGGCUAACUUCGUGCCAGCAGCCGCGGUAA
rnacentral:rRNA from 1 species